GACGAACGCUGGCGGCGUGCCUAAUACAUGCAAGUAGAACGCUGAAGCGAGGAGCUUGCUCUUCUUGGCUGAGUUGCGAACGGGUGAGUAACGCGUAGGUAACCUGCCUUGUAGCGGGGGAUAACUAUUGGAAACGAUAGCUAAUACCGCAUAACAAUGGAUGACCCAUGUCAUUUAUUUGAAAGGGGCAAAUGCUCCACUACAAGAUGGACCUGCGUUGUAUUAGCUAGUAGGUGAGGUAACGGCUCACCUAGGCGACGAUACAUAGCCGACCUGAGAGGGUGAUCGGCCACACUGGGACUGAGACACGGCCCAGACUCCUACGGGAGGCAGCAGUAGGGAAUCUUCGGCAAUGGGGGCAACCCUGACCGAGCAACGCCGCGUGAGUGAAGAAGGGUGUCGGAUCGUAAAGCUCUGUUGUAAGUCAAGAACGAGUGUGAGAGUGGAAAGUUCACACUGUGACGGUAGCUUACCAGAAAGGGACGGCUAACUACGUG
rnacentral:rRNA from 1 species